rnacentral:lncRNA from 1 species
UCCAUGAUAUCGCUCUCCAGGCCACCUCACCCCUUUGCAUGUGUGACACGUGGCGGAGCAGGACAUCUCUCUUCCUUGCAUGUGUGACAUGUGUCCUGGCAGGACACCUCACAGGACACCUUAUAGGGACACCUCACCUUCUUCUUGGCCUAUAAAUAGGCCACCCCUCUUCCUUCUUCUUAACACAUGAAGAGCACCAAAGAAAGAGAGUGAGAGGAGAGAGUAGUUCUGAAGGUGAAAGCCCAAGAAGGAGUUCUUGAGCUGUGAAGGUCCAUCUUCUUCCUUCUCCCUUUCAGCCAACCUUCUGCCUCUCUGCGAGCUAGCACUCCCCGGGAAGCUGAUCAUUUCGGAGCUUCGCGUGGACGAGUCAUCGAGGCCGGACGCUUGUGCAGCUGCGAAGCAUCCUUGAAGGAA